rfam:Citrus clementina cultivar Clemenules unplaced genomic scaffold scaffold_1, whole genome shotgun sequence.
AGAGCAGAAUGCAGCCAAGGAUGACUUGCGGCGGCGCCAUUUGCUUGCUGCGAGGCAAAAGGCUGCCACAGCGCCACAUACGUUGGCAAGUUGUUGUUGGCUACAUUUGGUUCUCU